rnacentral:rRNA from 1 species
UAACGUGUGAGCAAUCUGCCUCUAACUGGGGGAUAACACUUAGAAAUAGGUGCUAAUACCGCAUAAGACCACAUGAAGGCAUCUUCGAGGGGUCAAAGAUUUUAUCGGUUAGAGAUGAGCUCGCAUCCCAUUAGCUUGUUGGUGAGGUAACGGCCCACCAAGGCGACGAUGGGUAGCCGACCUGAGAGGGUGAUCGGCCACACUGGGACUGAGAUACGACCCAGACUCCUACGGGAGGCAGCAGUCGGGAAUAUUGGGCAAUGGAGGCAACUCUGACCCAGCAACGCCGCGUGAAGGAAUAGAAGGUCUUCGGAUUGUAAACUUCUGUCGCGAGGGACGAAGAAUGACGGUACCUCGUAAGAAAGCCCCGGCUAACUACGUGCCAGCAGCCGCGGUAAUACGUAGGGGGCAAGCGUUGUCCGGAAUGACUGGGCGUAAAGGGAGUGUAGGUGGCAUAAUAAGUUAUAUGUGAAAGCCCGCAGCUUAACUGCGGAACUGCAUAUAAAACUGUUAGGCUGGAGUGCAGGAGAGGUAAGCGGAAUUCCUAGUGUAGCGGUGGAAUGCGUAGAUAUUAGGAAGAACACCAGAGGCGAAGGCGGCUUACUGGACUGUAACUGACACUGAGGCUCGAAAGCGUGGGGAGCAAACAGGAUUAGAUACCCUGGUAGUCCACGCCCUAAACGAUGGAUACUAGACGA